GACGAACGCUGGCGGCGCGCCUAACACAUGCAAGUCGAACGGAGUCACGAGGAGCUUGCUUUUCUUGACUUAGUGGCGAACGGGUGAGUAACGCGUGAGUAACCUGCCCUGGAGUGGGGGACAACAGUUGGAAACGACUGCUAAUACCGCAUAAGCCCACGGAUCUGCAUGGAUCUGCGGGAAAAGGAUUUAUUCGCUCUAGGAUGGACUCGCGUCCAAUUAGCUAGUUGGUGAGGUAACGGCCCACCAAGGCGACGAUUGGUAGCCGGACUGAGAGGUUGAACGGCCACAUUGGGACUGAGACACGGCCCAGACUCCUACGGGAGGCAGCAGUGGGGGAUAUUGCACAAUGGGGGAAACCCUGAUGCAGCGACGCCGCGUGGAGGAAGAAGGUUUUCGGAUUGUAAACUCCUGUCGUUAGGGACGAUAAUGACGGUACCUAACAAGAAAGCACCAGCUAACUACGUG
rnacentral:rRNA from 1 species